GAGCAGACCACAGAGGCUCCACUCCGUCUGCCCAGUGUUCAGACUACCUGUUCAGGACUACGAGAUUGUACAGUAGUCUGCACAUUGGUUAGGCUGUGCUGGGAUACACCACACACUGCCA
rnacentral:pre_miRNA from 7 species